rnacentral:snoRNA from 1 species
GCAGGUACGAUAACUGUAAGAAAUUUCUUUUUUUUGAAUGCUAUUGAAAUGACAUAACAGAUGCAUUGUACACCCAUAGAAUAUGAGUGCA